GUUCACUUUAGCUGAACAUAUACAAAAGUUGGAAUAAUACUGAGAUGAGCAUGAUCCCUGCAAAAGAAUGAUGAGCAAAUUCAUGAAGUAUUCCUUAUUUUG